rnacentral:rRNA from 1 species
UACGUAGGGGGCAAGCGUUGUCCGGAUUUAUUGGGCGUAAAGAGCGUGUAGGCGGCCAGAUAGGUCCGUUGUGAAAACUCGAGGCUCAACCUCGAGACGCCGAUGGAAACCAUUUGGCUAGAGUCCGGAAGAGGAGAGUGGAAUUCCUGGUGUAGCGGUGAAAUGCGCAGAUAUCAGGAAGAACACCCGUGGCGAAGGCGGCUCUCUGGAACGCAACUGACGCUGAGACGCGAAAGCGUGGGGAGCAAACAGG